CAGGGAACAGCUGGGUGAGCUGCU
rnacentral:miRNA from 1 species